rnacentral:rRNA from 1 species
CCUACGGGGGGCAGCAGUGGGGAAUAUUGGACAAUGGGCGAAAGCCUGAUCCAGCCAUGCCGCGUGUGUGAAGAAGGCCUUCGGGUUGUAAAGCACUUUCAGUGGGGAAGAAAGCCUUGGGGCUAAUACCCUCGAGGAAGGACAUCACCCACAGAAGAAGCACCGGCUAACUCCGUGCCAGCAGCCGCGGUAAUACGGAGGGUGCGAGCGUCAAUCGGAAUUACUGGGCGUAAAGCGCGCGUAGGCGGUCUGAUAAGCCGGUUGUGAAAGCCCCGGGCUCAACCUGGGAACGGCAUCCGGAACUGUCAGGCUAGAGUGCAGGAGAGGAAGGUAGAAUUCCCGGUGUAGCGGUGAAAUGCGUAGAGAUCGGGAGGAAUACCAGUGGCGAAGGCGGCCUUCUGGACUGACACUGACGCUGAGGUGCGAAAGCGUGGGUAGCAAACAGGAUUAGAUACCCUAGUAGUC